AACGAACGCUGGCGGCAGGCCUAACACAUGCAAGUCGAGCGCCCUCGCGAGGGGGAGCGGCGGACGGGUGAGUAACGCGUGAGAACGUGCCUCUUGCUACGGAAUAGCCUCGGGAAACUGGGAGUAAUACCGUAUGUGCCCUACGGGGGACAGAUUUAUCGGCAAGAGAUCGGCCUGCGUUGGAUUAGGUAGUUGGUGGGGUAAUGGCCUACCAAGCCGACGAUCCAUAGCUGGUUUGAGAGGAUGAUCAGCCACACUGGGACUGAGACACGGCCCAGACUCCUACGGGAGGCAGCAGUGGGGAAUAUUGGACAAUGGGCGCAAGCCUGAUCCAGCCAUGCCGCGUGAGUGAUGAAGGCCUUAGGGUUGUAAAGCUCUUUUGGCGGGGACGAUAAUGACGGUACCCGCAGAAUAAGCCCCGGCUAACUUCGUGCCAGCAGCCGCAGUAAAAC
rnacentral:rRNA from 1 species